AUGUUAGAUACAUCGGGUCUCUCCAAGGCAUGGUGGGGGGAGGCGAUAUUGACAGCAUGUCAUGUCCUGAACCGAGUCCCCACAAAGAACAAAGAGAUAACUCCAUUCGAGGAAUGGGAGAAGAAAAGGUUAAAACUCUCUUAUCUGCGAACAUGGGGUUGUUUGGCAAAAGUCAAUGCUCCAAUUUCAAAGAAGUGGAAGCUUGGACCAAAGACUGUGGAUUGUGUUUUCCUGGGAUAUGCUUUUCAUAGCAUUGGCUAUAGAUUCUUGGUUGUAAAAUCUGAGGUACCUGACAUGCAUGUCGGUAGGAUCAUGGAGUCGAAUGAUGCGACUUUGUUCGAAGAUAUCUUUCCCAUGAAGGAUAUGGCUACCUCAUCUAAUUAG
rnacentral:rRNA from 1 species